UUUAACAUCAACCUUGAGUCCUGCCCUCCUAAGCCCCUGCGAUAAUUUAAUGUGGUCUUGUUUCUAUGUGGUUUGUUUUGAUGGAUGUAGGCAGAACUCAUCCUCUGGUGAUGACAGUGUGAGGAAUGAUGAUCUUCUUCAGGAACUAAUGUUUCAGGAUCACUUAUCAGACCUGGAUAUGCUCCUGAAUCCGGAUUGCAACCCUUGGCCUGCGCAUAUCCGUGAACAUCUAACAGUCAACUCACAACUAAACGAAAGGAAAACAACACAGUAAACCUAGUGAUUUCAUAAACAGGAGCUGGAGGCUCGUAAGCAGCUGUCUGAAACCUCGUCAUCUCUCACACAAACAGUGCAACAGCUGCAGACAGACAAGCGGUACUGGUCUAAAGGGGAGAAGUGCACGCUGCGUUGAAGGAGCUAAAGAACAGAUAUGUGGCUUUUCUCUCCCUUCACCAAUCAUAACCUCAAGGACUAAGCAGAAAUCUACAACCUACAGCUUUCAUUUAAUUAGUGAAAGGCAUGAGGUGUCAAACCUAACCAAUCAGACCAC
ensembl:lncRNA